rnacentral:lncRNA from 12 species
CACGCUGACACCUUGGCAGAGACCUGGCAAUGAAGUCAGUGGCUUUGGAAUAUCUUUUUCUGUUUGUUCUGUGAGUUCUGACAGUGGGAUGGCCUCGUGCUGCCCCUCUGCUCAGGGGUGCUUGUGGGGAAGGGCUCUGGAGCUGACAGAAUCACCUGCCAGCAUAAUGAAAUGCAUAGCUACAUGAAUACAGAAACGGCAGACAAGUGAGUUGCUUUGGUACAAAUCGCCUUUUGUCUUUGCUUUUUUUAUGGAGGCUUGCUGGAGUGCGAAGAUCCCUCUGUGAAAAUAAGACCCUUCUGCCACCAAGAAGCCAAGUGGAGAGACUGUGAGGGCCGAAAUCUGUUGUCAGUGGGACUGCCCAGAGGAAAAACUCAGCCCCUCUGCUCUCCAGGGAUCUCUGCAGUCAGCACCAUCAAGGCUCCAUCCCUCCAGAGCUGCCGUGUUCUUCUAGGAGCUGUUGGACCUCUGGAAAACAAGAGGUGUUGCCAAGGAGCUACGUGGGACAACCAAUGUUUCCCUUGGGUCCUGCCUGCUGCUGGGGCACCCUCAUGUUUUUGGCAUGUAGUCAUAGACUCUGACGCGGGAGUAUCGGAGUUGCUGAGUGGCAGGUGCUGA